rnacentral:rRNA from 1 species
GACGAACGCUGGCGGCGCGCCUAACACAUGCAAGUCGAACGGAGCGGAGAGAAGCUUGCUUUGCUUAGCUUAGUGGCGAACGGGUGAGUAACGCGAGAGUAACCUGCCCUGGAGUGGGGGACAAUAGGUGGAAACGACUGCUAAUACCGCAUAAGCCCACGAUCCGGCAUCGGAGUGGGGGAGAAGGAUUUAUUCGGUUCAGGAUGGACUCGCGUCCAAUUAGCUAGUUGGUGAGGUAACGGCACACCAAGGCGACGAUUGGUAGCCGGACUGAGAGGUUGAACGGCCACAUUGGGACUGAGACCCGGCCCAGACUCCUACGGGAGGCAGCAGUGGGGGAUAUUGCGCAAUGGGGGAAACCCUGAUGCCGCGACGCCGCGUGGAGGAAGAAGGUUUUCGGAUUGUAAACUCCUGUCGUUAGGGACGAUAAUGACGGUACCUAACAAGAAAGCACCGGCUAACUACGUG